GAUCAUGGGCGAUGGUGGUGGUGACGAAGGCGGCGGGAUGUUGUGGACGACAAUGGGUAGCAGGGGUUUGGUUUUGGAUAGGAGUAGAGGUGGGUUUGGAUGGGGAUGAGAUAUGGGUGGAAGAUGAUGAUGGUUUUUUAUUUAAUUAUUUUAAUUACUUCUAUAUGGAAAGAGAGAGUUACAAUCAUAAAUAAUUAAUAGGUCAAAAUCAUUUGCUUGGUCAAUUAUUGAAAAAGUGGAUGGAUUCCUAGAAUUUAUACCUUUGGAUUUGUGAAAUUUUUAAUGAUAAGUAGAGAAGGAAAUGCACGAUCAUGCAGCAGAAGAUGAAGUGGUGGACAGAUUUGAAGCAGCCAGUGAGAAAACGGGUGUGAAUGAAGAAAAGAUGAAUGAUAAAUCAAGAAAUGAUGAAAAUCCGAAAACAGAAAAAGUUCGCAGAAUUGUCAUUUAGGUAGUGAAAAAACUUCAUUUGAUUCCUCAGAACUGAUUUAACGUGGUUGUGAUUGCAAAGGAGAAUUGGGGCUUUUACAUAGAAAUUGUGCAGAGACCAGGUUUGGCUAGAGAGAUCUCAGAUUGUGUUAAAUAUGUGGAAACAUAGUGAACAUAACCAGCAGUUUGGAGAACACCUCAAUAUUCAUGAUGGAGAGAAAUGAGAUGAGACUCUGGUAGCAGCAACUUUAGACACUUCUCGAGAAAGUUCUUGCCAAUGUAAGAAGACUUUAUGCAACUUUCUAAUGACAUGCUUGGUACUAGCCUUUAUCUUGCCAUGGUUCUUUCGUGAUGUUAUUCUGUAGAGGAGCACUGCAUUUGAUGUUGUGGUUGGUGGGGGAGUCAUUGGUUGAUCUUUAUAAUAACUCACAAAAGAUACCAGGACGAGUUCUUUAAGGUUUCAUAUUCAACACUGUAGUAAUUUUUGUAUAUACAGAUAUUGCUUCUAUAAGAAUUGUGAUCCAGAAUAAAUUGAGAAUGGUGUCAACUGAAUCA